UUUUUUUUUGAUUCGUUACUUGAAAAAAGACAAGUAAUAAAUAUUGUUUUUUUGAACAUUAUAAUCAGAAUUAAAUUGCUUUUUUUUAUUAUGUUUUUUAUUUAGCUGUUGCAUCGGCAUCAUUAGUCUCUUCAGAUAUCAAUGAAGUAUCAACUCUAAGGCAACAGAUUGGUAAGCAAAAAUAUAUCAUAUGUUUUUAUCUCCCCAAAGCUUGGUAGACUGUUACAGUUAAGGAUGCUACUUUAAUUGUGGUUGGAUCCCUUUCUCAACUUAAAAUUAAAAUUUUGAAACACAAACAUUGUAAAACAAGGCCGCUGUGCUAAGAAACAAGUUAAGUGCGGUACUACCAGGUACAUUUGACCUUAUAACUAUACCACUAUACACAAUAACCAUGUAAAGUAAUUAUAUUUAACAAUAAAUAAAAUAAUGUACUUACCAAUAUAUAAAAUUAUACAUUUACCAAUGUUUAUCUUAUGAUUAAUAUUAUAAAUCUCAUUCAAAAUAUAUUUAAGGAAUUAUAUGAAAUUUUCAAGUUUUUUUUUGUAAGUUCUUCUGCAAAGGCGAGUUGGUAAGUUGUACAUACUGAUUCCAUAUUUUUAAAGGAUAAUAUUUUUUCAUUUUAACAAUAUUUUUAACAUUUUUAUAUAUAUCUUUGUUACAUAUGUUGGGAAAAAAAAUUCAAAUGUUCGGUUAAUAGUUUUUUUUAUCUAGAUGAAUUGUCAACAAACAAGUUUCCUAAUGGUAUACAAGCUAAAGCCCUAAACGUGUCAUUACUAAUUUUUUGAAUGAGAUUAGUUAAACGAGUUGGCUUCUCAUUAAAGAUAUUGAUUUCAAAAUAUAACACCCUUGCUAAAAUGCUCACAGAAUCAAGCUAUGCUUGGCUCCUCAGUCCUGUAGAUAGCAGCUGUUAUAACUGAUUUUGAAAAGUGCCUUCAACCUUAAUUGUUUUUUAAGAAAAAUGUGUUUUAUAUAGAGUUUUUUUUAAAUAUUUUUGUUAAAUAUUAAACUAUAUACCAUGUAAAUAAAUUUGUUUUAAAGAUAUGUAAACGUAUG